GACGAACGCUGGCGGCGUGCUUAACACAUGCAAGUCGAACGGAAAGGCCCUGCUUGCAGGGUACUCGAGUGGCGAACGGGUGAGUAACACGUGGGUGAUCUGCCCUGCACUUCGGGAUAAGCCUGGGAAACUGGGUCUAAUACCGGAUAGGAGCCAUUUUGAGUGUGAUGGUUGGAAAGUUUUUUCGGUGUAGGAUGAGCUCGCGGCCUAUCAGCUUGUUGGUGGGGUAAUGGCCUACCAAGGCGGCGACGGGUAGCCGGCCUGAGAGGGUGGACGGCCACAUUGGGACUGAGAUACGGCCCAGACUCCUACGGGAGGCAGCAGUGGGGAAUAUUGCACAAUGGGCGCAAGCCUGAUGCAGCGACGCCGCGUUGGGGAUGACGGCCUUCGGGUUGUAAACUCCUUUCGCUAGGGACGAAGCUUUUGUGACGGUACCUAGAGAAGAAGCACCGGCUAACUACGUG
rnacentral:rRNA from 1 species